AAAAAAAAUAGCUCUCUCCAUUCUUCUCCUCAAAACCGAUAGCUCCCCAAGCUCCAUGGCUGCCAUUUUCUCUCCCCAAGCUUAUGCACUAACUCUCCAUUGAAGGAAGGGGAGAAGCUCAAGAGCACACCAAGGAAGAGGUUAAAGAGAGGUGGUUCUAGGAGAAUCUCAAAGUUGAAGCUUUUUGGUGAUCUAGUGAAAACAAAGAACACAAGGAGGAAGUUUGAAAAGCUAAGGGAACCUCAUCUCCAAGCAAGAACCAUCAAAGGUAAGUGCAAAAGCAAAGUGGAGCAGUGAGCGCCAGAGUCUGAUUGUGGAUAUGUACAUGUGGUCUAACCUGGGGAGGUUUUGAUGGAGCACCAUUUUGAAAAGAAACAUUGGUUGUUAUCUCUUUUAUGACAUUUGUUUUGCUUUAACUUUGUAAAAGAAUAGGUGUAAUUCUGUUUACUAAAACUAAAAGUGUGCGCACACAAUCUUCUUAAAAGUUUUUUUAUAUGGAUUUUUGGUACAAUGAAUUAAAGUAAAAGUAUAGAUUUCUGCA